rnacentral:rRNA from 1 species
GCUCAGGAUGAACGCUAGCUACAGGCUUAACACAUGCAAGUCGAGGGGCAGCAUGGUCUUAGCUUGCUAAGGCUGAUGGCGACCGGCGCACGGGUGAGUAACACGUAUCCAACCUGCCGUCUACUCUUGGACAGCCUUCUGAAAGGAAGAUUAAUACAAGAUGGCAUCAUGAGUCCGCAUGUUCACAUGAUUAAAGGUAUUCCGGUAGACGAUGGGGAUGCGUUCCAUUAGAUAGUAGGCGGGGUAACGGCCCACCUAGUCUUCGAUGGAUAGGGGUUCUGAGAGGAAGGUCCCCCACAUUGGAACUGAGACACGGUCCAAACUCCUACGGGAGGCAGCAGUGAGGAAUAUUGGUCAAUGGGCGAGAGCCUGAACCAGCCAAGUAGCGUGAAGGAUGACUGCCCUAUGGGUUGUAAACUUCUUUUAUAAAGGAAUAAAGUCGGGUAUGGAUACCCGUUUGCAUGUACUUUAUGAAUAAGGAUCGGCUAACUCCGUGCCAGCAGCCGCGGUAAUACGGAGGAUCCGAGCGUUAUCCGGAUUUAUUGGGUUUAAAGGGAGCGUAGAUGGAUGUUUAAGUCAGUUGUGAAAGUUUGCGGCUCAACCGUAAAAUUGCAGUUGAUACUGGAUAUCUUGAGUGCAGUUGAGGCAGGCGGAAUUCGUGGUGUAGCGGUGAAAUGCUUAGAUAUCACGAAGAACUCCGAUUGCGAAGGCAGCCUGCUAAGCUGCAACUGACAUUGAGGCUCGAAAGUGUGGGUAUCAAACAGGAUUAGAUACCCUGGUAGUCCACACGGUAAACGAUGAAUACUCGCUGUUUGCGAUAUACUGCAAGCGGCCAAGCGAAAGCGUUAAGUAUUCCACCUGGGGAGUACGCCGGCAACGGUGAAACUCAAAGGAAUUGACGGGGGCCC